GACAGAGGGGGCAAGCGUUGCUCGGAAUCACUGGGCGUAAAGGGCGCGUAGGCGGGAUGGCAAGUCGGUCGUGAAAUCCUUCGGCUCAACCGAAGAACGUCGGCCGAUACUGCCGUUCUUGAGGAUUGCAGAGGAGACUGGAAUUCCCGGUGUAGCGGUGAAAUGUGUAGAGAUCGGGAGGAACACCGGUGGCGAAGGCGGGUCUCUGGGCAAUUCCUGACGCUGAGGCGCGAAAGCGUGGGGAGCAAACGGG
rnacentral:rRNA from 1 species